AGAGUUUGAUCCUGGCUCAGGACGAACGCUGGCGGCGUGCUUAACACAUGCAAGUCGAACGGAAAGGCCCACCACCUUGGUGGUGGGUACUCGAGUGGCGAACGGGUGAGUAACACGUGGGUGAUCUGCCCCGCACUGUGGGAUAAGCCUGGGAAACUGGGUCUAAUACCACAUACGACCACACUGUAGACAGUGUGGUGGAAAGCUUUUGCGGUGUGGGAUGAGCCCGCGGCCUAUCAGCUUGUUGGUGGGGUAAUGGCCUACCAAGGCGGCGACGGGUAGCCGGCCUGAGAGGGUGGACGGCCACAUUGGGACUGAGACACGGCCCAGACUCCUACGGGAGGCAGCAGUGGGGAAUAUUGCACAAUGGGCGCAAGCCUGAUGCAGCGACGCCGCGUGAGGGAUGACGGCCUUCGGGUUGUAAACUCCUUUCGCCCGGGACGAAGCCCACCUUGGUGGGUGACGGUACCGUGGAGAAGAAGCACCGGCUAACUACGUGCCAGCAGCCGCGGUAAUACGUAGGGUGCAAGCGUUGUCCGGAUUUACUGGGCGUAAAGAGCUCGUAGGUGGUGUGUCGCGUCGUCUGUGAAAUUCCGGGGCUUAACUCCGGGCGUGCAGGCGAUACGGGCACGACUAGAGUGCUGUAGGGGUAACUGGAAUUCCUGGUGUAGCGGUGAAAUGCGCAGAUAUCAGGAGGAACACCGAUGGCGAAGGCAGGUUACUGGGCAGUUACUGACGCUGAGGAGCGAAAGCAUGGGGAGCGAACAGGAUUAGAUACCCUGGUAGUCCAUGCUGUAAACGGUGGGCGCUAGGUGUGGGCUGUGUGUUUGCAGUCUGUGCCGUAGCUAACGCAUUAAGCGCCCCGCCUGGGGAGUACGGCCGCAAGGCUAAAACUCAAAGGAAUUGACGGGGGC
rnacentral:rRNA from 1 species